rnacentral:lncRNA from 1 species
CCUCCUUUUAUCUUUCAAAAAUUUUUUAAUUUAAAAGAUCUGUUAAUCAGUAAAUGUAAGCCAUAAAUGAAGCUAUGAAUCAGCCAAAAUAUUUUCCAUAUUUUCAGUAUAAAUCUGGCCUAGAGUGGAGAAAAGGGGUUAGUUACCCUGGUAUUCAGGUAUAUUAAGAAUCUAUGUAAACAGCUUCUAUUGGCUUGACAUCAAUUUUUUUUGUUCAUGUACCCUUAUUCCUCGCUUAAUCACUAACAUUAAAGGACUUAUAGCCUGAAUUGGAGGUCAUGUAAUUAAGAAUUUCUGAAGCAUAAUACAUUUAUAAGUGUAACACUAAUAAUAAAUUAAACUAGAGGCUCUCAAGAGCCUGUGUCGCUCACCUUGGUUUAUGUGCAUAUUAACAAUAAACACAGAUAAAUUCAUGACAAAAUUGAGUUUUGGUGAUGGUGAUGUGUUUGUAUAUCUUUCUUUACUGAAUAUUCUUGUUGCUACAAUUAUCUCUAUCUAUAAUGAACUUGGCCCAGUAAUUGCAGUGGAAAAUAUUUCCUUAAAAUUUACAAAAAUUAACAAAAAUUUAUGAAAAUUGUUAACAAUUGACUAUAAAGAGCAAUAACUCCUUAAGGGGUCAAUUGACAAUUUUGGUCUUGUUGACUUAUUUGUAGAUCUUAUUUUGCUGAACAUUAUUGCUGUUUACAGUUUAUCUCUAUCUAUAAUAAUAUUCAAGAUAAUAACCAAAAUCUGCAAAAUUUCCUUAAAAUUACUAAUUCGGGGGCAGCAACCCAACAACAGGUUGUCCGAUUUGUCUGAAAAUUUCAGGGCAGAUAGAUCUUGACCUGAUAAUUAAUUUUAUCCCUGUCAGAUUUGCUCUAAAUGCUUUGGUUUUUGAGUUAUAAGCCAAAAAACUGCAUUUUACCCCUAUGUUCUAUUUUUAGCCAUGGCAGCCAUCUUGGUUGGUUGGCGGGGUCACUCCACACAUUUUUUUAACAAUAUACCCCAAUGAUGAUUUUGGCCAAGUUUGGUUUAAUUUGGCCCAGUAGUUUCAGAGGAGGAGAUUUUUGUAAAAGAUUACAAAAAUUUACGAAAAAUUGGUCAAAAUUGACUAUAAAGGGCAAUAACUCCUUAAGGGGUCAACUGACCAUUUUAGUCAUAUUAACUUAUUUGUAGAUCUUACUUUGCUGAACAUUAUUGCUGAUUACAUUUUAUCUCUUUCUAUAAUAAUGUUCAAGAUAAUAACCAAAAUCUGCAAAAUUUCCUUCAAAUUACUUAUUUCGGGGCAGCAACCCAACAACCCGUUGUCCGAUUCAUUUGAAAGUUUCAGGGCAGAUAGAUUUUCACUUGUUGUACGAUUUUACUCCCUGUCAGAUUUGCUCUAAAUGCUUUGGUUUCAGAGAUAUAAGUCAAAAUCUACAUUUCACCCCUAUGUUCUAUUUUUAGCCAUGGCAGCCAUCUUGGUUGGUUGGCCGGGUCACGCCACACAUUUUUUAAACUAGAUACCCAAAAGAUGAUUGUGGCCAAGUUUGGAUUAAUUUAGCCCAGUAGUUUCAGAGGAGAAGAUUUUUGUAAUAGAUUACUAAGAUUUACGAAAAAAUGGUUAAAAAUUGACUAUAAAGGGCAAUAACUCCUAAAGGGGUCAACUGACCAUUUCGGUCAUGUUGACUUAUUUGUAAAUCUUACUUUUUUGAACAUUAUUGCUGUUUACAGUUAAUCUCUAUCUGUAAUAAUAUUCAAGAUAAUAACCAAAAACAUCAAAAUUUCCUUAAAAUUACCAAUUCAGGGGCAGCAACCCAACAACAUGUUGUCCGAUUCAUCUGAAAAUUUCAGGGCAGAGAGAUCUUGACCUGAUAAACAAUUUUACCCCUGUCAGAUUUGCUCUAAAUGCUUUGGUUUUUGAGUUAUAAGCCAAAAACUGCAUUUUACCCCUAUGUUCUAUUUUUAGCCAUGGCAGCCAUCUUGGUUGGUUGGCAGGGUCACGCCACACAUUUUUUAAACUAGAUACUUCAAUAAUGAUUGUGGCCAAAUUUGGUUAAAUUUGGCCCAGUAGUUUCAGAGGAGAAGAUUUUUGUAAAAGUUAACGACGACCGACGCCAGACGCCAAGUGAUGGGAAAAGCUCACUUGGCCCUUUG